rnacentral:lncRNA from 1 species
GGAAUACAGUUGCGGAUCUCACUCUAAAGCACAAUGGCACAAAGAACCAAAAUUGCUCUCUGGAUACAAUUUUUAGAAAGGCAAAACAAACAAAACGUUUUUUCAUUGAAAGGGAUAAAAAGGUAGGGGAAAAAAAUACAUACAUGAAGGAGGUGGAGGGGAUUUUAAAAGAUAAAAAUAAUCAUGCUAAUCUUCUCAAAGAGAACAAUGUCUCUAUUUAAGUUGGAAUAACUUUUUUUUCUUUGUUGCAAGGUUGCUUCAAAGUGCAUGGCUAUGUUUGUUUUCUACCCAAGCUCACCUCAAAAGCAUCCACUAAAAUUCUUAAAUGUACUCUUAGGGGAAGGCCAAGAAAAAAUUAUUCUUGUACUUCAUCUUUGUCCAAACCCAUACAAUUCAUUCCUUGUCAUGGCUACAGUGUCAACCACAUCCACAUGAGAGCAUCCGAAGAUGCCUUACCAGGAUUCCACUUCUGGUACCACCAGCUCUAGUUCUGGUAAAGGAUGCCUAGCCUCUCGCUUGUGCAGUGUGUAAAUUUUGGAUAGUAUAAUGCCUGCUGUUGCAUGAAGCCUGUAAAACACAGGAUUGUUUACACAGAUAGAAGGUCCACAAGACUCCAAUAAUUUAGGCAUGUGCUGGUCCAAGGGAAUGCAAUUAAUCUCCACAUGUGACCCAACCAUGGGAACAACCAAAUGGGGUUUUGUGUCCUCACCCACUUGUGUGCAGAAUUAUCUCCUGAGCCCUAAAUACUUAGAUCUAGUAUCAAGAGAUGGAGGAAGAGAUUAUUGCCAGUGCUCUUUUCUUUGAUCCCUGCCAUUGAAAUCCAAUCUGUUUAUGGACAGGUAGAUAAAUAGAUAAAUCAAUAAAUGGAUUGGUCUGUUCAGAAAUAAUUUUGAAAUGAUAUGCUGUUAUUAAUAAUUAGCAGCAAACCACUUUCACUUUUCUGGGCUCUUUCAAAUAAGCAUUUAAAAUAAUGUUAGCGAUGUUUUUAAAACGAGGAUGUAUGUCCUGUGGAAUCAUUGGAGUGAGGCAGACAAACUCUGCUAAGUAUAUUCUGUAUUUCUUUCUCAAUUUUUUAUUUUUUGUUUUAUUUUUUUGUUUGUUGGAUUCCGUACCGAGAUGUGAAAGUCCAUCUUCCAACGUCUACAGGAUUUUUCAACAGCCCACUUGAUGCUGUUCUUCUUUUUCUAUGAAUCAUGGACACAAACAGAAAAUGAAAAAGAAAACACAAAAAUGAAUAAUUCCCACUGAUGACACAACAAUGCCAUUCCUCCACGAAUAGGUAAUGGAAUAUGUUUGAAUGAAAGUGUAGAAAGAAGAAUAAGAAGGUAAAAUCUGGCUUUUUCCUUAGUCUGUACACACAAUUUAAAAGACUGACAUUUUUAGGGUUCAAAAGCUGGUUACAGUGAGGAGGUAUCUAAAGAAGAAGGUGGACUAUUGUGGGAGGAUUGAGAGCUUGUCUCUUUUGGCUCCAUUUGAGAUUGUGCCCUCCUUCUCCAAUGUCAGAGCACCUCCAAAGUUUAAAGAGACAAUUACUGCACAGAAACAUCAUGCCAAUUUUGUUGUUGGAUGUUUUGGAUUUGUGUGGAGGAUUCUGAUAAUCAUCUAAAAGCAUAAUUAAAAUUAAAUAUUAAAAAAUUCAGAUUUUUCAUUCAUUGGACAAUUUUCUUUCAAACAGAAACUUGUCACUAGAGCAUAUUGAAAGGGUGCUGUGUUACAAUCUACAUAAUAAAAAGGUUAAUGCAAAUGUUGUUGAAUGAUUGUUUAAUCAUAAUUUUGAAUAAUAUGUACCUACCACCUUUGAGGCUUUUUGAUCUACAAAAUUCAUGCAACAUUAUUAUUAUUGUGUGUAGAGUAGUGCUUUCGUAUAUUUAUCAUCUGAGAUGACAAAUUUUAUAUAUUUUAUGUUGCAAAAUUGUAAUGUCAAAAUUAUUAAAAAUGAGUUAGUAAAAAACAAAGAUAAGAAAAGGGAGGAUUACAUAUAGAAUCACAAGAUAUCAUUAGUUAAAUUUACUUUCCAAAAAUAGCCAUUCAGAAAAUUGAUUACAAGUGAGACCACAUUCAAUAGCAAAAGUA